AUGGACCGAUACAGGUACUUUAUCUUCAACCAGAGGAGCGUCCUGGUCCUGGGGAUCCUCCAGGUGGCCUGUGCGGGACUCUGCGUCGUCUGCGGGUUCAUGGACGCCGUUUUCCGCAAAGACACCCCGCUGAGCAGCACCAGGACGCCGGUGUGGGGAGGACUGGUCAUGGCCUGUCCAGGUGUGCUGGCUCUGUUCGCCUCCCAGCGUAAACACUCCGUCCUGGUGAGUGUGAUGGUGGCGGCUGCAGGACUCUCCUGUGUGGCGGUUCUCUUCUUAUCGGGCUACUCCUGUCUGACUCUGACCUACGGGGAGGAGGAUGAAGAGGUCUUCCAUCACCACGACAGUCCUGAAGUGACGUUUGUCCUCCAUCGGAUGGUGAAGGGAGCUAAUGCCACCAUCCUGCUGAGCUGCUCCAUCAGCCUGGUUCUGUCUGCUCUGAUUGGCUGGGUGGGCUGCCGGAGUCUGCCCCGCUGUGGCUGCUACGAUGCCAGGACUGGACUGGAGACUCUGGUUCCUCAGUGUGAUCCUGGAGACACGGAGAUGGUGUGCACCUGGCGAGCAGGAGGCGACGACAGACUCUUCAACUCUUCUGCUGCGUCCAGCAGCAGAAACACCACAGAGGAAGAGGAGGGUCCUUCCAGCCUGGCUUCAUACAGCAGACUGACCUGAGACCAAACCUCUGGUCCUUCAGCCCUGAAGAGAUGAUGGACAUUACUUUACAUCUCAUGGACAGAGGAGGAGCCUCAGGAGGAGCCUCAGGACGUCUGGAGGAACUCUGGCGGGCGAUGACAGAUACAGCUGCUUUGUGAACAAAAUAAGGCAAAAGAAACGACAGCUGCAUGAAGACAGAUGGAUGAGAAAACAGAAGAAGCAGCAACCAAACCCAGAAUAAAACUCUGUAGUCGCUGACAGAUCACCUGGUGGUUUGUCUCAGUGCAUUGCCUCUAACAGUCCUGAGAGAAGGUUUGAUCUGUCCUCUGAGAAGACCAAAGCAGCAGAACCACGGCCCGUGGGCCUCCAGAGGGUCCAAUCUGGUCCUAUUUACAAAGUGUAAAAUUUACAGAGAAGAAACUAUAAAUUUAAAAUAAUUUCUAGACCAUGACAAGUUGUUUUGAUCAUAAAGUAAAAUACGAGAUUGUUCA